rnacentral:misc_RNA from 1 species
GAUGAAGAACGUAGUGAAAUGCGAUAAGUAGUGUGAAUUGCAGAAUUCAGUGAAUCAUCGAAUCUUAGAACGCACAUUGCGCCCCUUGGUAUCCCGAGGGGCAUGCCUGUUCGAGCGUCAUUUCACCACUCAAGCCUGGCUUGGUGUUGGGCGACGUCCCCUUUGGGGACGCGCCUCGAAACGCUCGGCGGCGUGGCACCGACUUUAAGCGUAGCAGAAUCUUUCGCUUUGGAAGUCGGGGCCCCGUCUGCCGGAAGACCUACUCGCAAGGUUGACCUCGGAUCAGGCAGGGAUACCCGCUGAACUUAAGCAUAUCAAUAAGCGGAGGA